AAUGUGGCAAGAAUGAUGAGACAAUUAGAUGUGUGAGAAGAUAUUUAACUCUUUCAUGACCUCAACUCAGAAUGCUUAUUGAUAUUCUGACUUGCCAAUU